rnacentral:misc_RNA from 1 species
GUAUUUGAUGCCAAAGGCCAGGUGGUCCUGCCCUCCUUUUUAUCAUUGGGUUUUGUGAGAUUUGAUAGACUAGUAGGUUAGAAAAAGUUGGCUAUACUAACCAUUUUUAAUAAGAAAAAGUGAUGAUGCAUGUCUUUCUACUCUGAUUUGGGAAAAUGAUAAUCUCAGUGAUUUAGUGAAUUGUUUAUGAAACAAGCCCAACUGAGAGCAGAUGGAAGGUUUGCUGAAGUAACUACUUUGUUGAUUUGGUUUUGUUUAUUUACUUGUCUUUCUCGAAUGAAAUUGUUUGGUAUCGUACUCUAUUUUCUUUGGAUCUUGAAGUUUGGAAAUAUUAACAAGUAUCCACUUUCUUGUAGGUCCUUGGAAGAUUAGCG